rnacentral:rRNA from 1 species
AUUAAUGAUCUUAUCUGGCCACAGAAGCUAAGCAGUCUUGGGCCUGGCUAAUACUUGGGUGGGAGAGCACACUGGAAAUCUAAGUACUGUUGAUA